CUCAGGGGGAGGGGAAGUUUCCAACAAGCUUCGGCGGCUGGUGACGAGUACGCUCUCUAUCUGAACCCUUGUCUUUUUGUGCACUCUUGUUUCCUCGGCGGGCCUGCCCGCCGGCUGGACAACUUUAUAACCUUUUUUAAUUUUCAAUCAGCGUCUGAAUACAUAUAAUAAUUACAACUUUCAACAACGGAUCUCUUGGUUCUGGCAUCGAUGAAGAACGCAGCGAAAUGCGAUAAGUAGUGUGAAUUGCAGAAUUCAGUGAAUCAUCGAAUCUUUGAACGCACAUUGCGCCCCUUGGUAUUCCAUGGGGCAUGCUUGUUCGAGCGUCAUUUGUACCCUCAAGCUCUGCUUGGUGUUGGGUGUUUGUCCUUGCCUCUGUGUUUGGACUCGCCUUAAAUUCAUUGGCAGCUAAUGUAUUGGUCUGAAGCGCAGCACAAUUUGCGGUUCUGACUGGUUAUCAUUUGCGUCCAUAAAGCACAAUUAACACUUUUGACCUCGGAUCAAGUAGGAAUACCCGCUGAACUUAAGCAUAUCAAUAA
rnacentral:rRNA from 1 species